GCACAGGGCACCAUUAGACAUUUUGCCUGGGCCACAAGCAUACGCCAGGACUACGGGACAGGUAGAUAAAAGGUUUUUUGGGAACAAAUGAUAACAAUCUCAGUGUUUGCUGAAGGAGAAUGGGCAGCUGGUCCUGGGAAGAAAGAAGAGAAAUGAUCUCAGCACUGAACACAGAACUCUUCUCCGCAGUGACUGCUGACAGCAAGUGCAGUCUAGUCUCCCUGGUCGUUGGAGUCCCUUGAAAGCCAUCAAGAAGAAAGCCACCGACGGGCCGCUUGGCUGUCUCUCGUGCUGACCUCAGCCUCUCCUCC